CAAUUUCGUAGAUAAACGUAAGGAUUAGGAUUGCAAAGAGAAGCAUGAAUGAAAGAAAAAAAAUUUUAUGUGUAUUCAAAUGGACCAUGUGAAGAGAACCUACGUUUAAGUAAAUGUUUAUAUUUGCCGCAUAGAAAAAACGUCAAUUUAUGGCUUUAGUAAGCUACAAAACUAAAGAGUAAAUUUUGUUCAAAUAGACCGAGAGCUUCGACUUUGCAACUCCAACCAUGCUUUAUAACUAC